CCUACUGGAGGCAGCAGUGAGGAAUAUUGGUCAAUGGACGAGAGUCUGAACCCUCCCCUUCUCUUUCCUUCUUCCUUCCCUCUUUUUUUUCCCCUUCUUUUCUCACGGAAUAAAACGAGGCACGUGUGCCUUUUUGCAUGUACUUUAUGAAUAAGGAUCGGCUAACUCCGUGCCAGCAGCCGCGGUAAUACGGAGGAUCCGAGCGUUAUCCGGAUUUAUUGGGUUUAAAGGGAGCGUAGAUGGGUUGUUAAGUCAGUUGUGAAAGUUUGCGGCUCAACCGUAAAAUUGCAAUUGAUACUGGCAGUCGUGAGUACAGUUGAGGUAGGCGGAAUUCGUGGUGUAGCGGUGAAAUGCUUAGAUAUCACGAAGAACCCCGAUUGCGAAGGCAGCUUACUAAACUGUGACUGACAUUGAUGCUCGAAAGUGUGGGUAUCAAACAGGAUUAGAUACCCGAGUAGUC
rnacentral:rRNA from 1 species